rnacentral:tRNA from 1 species
UCCCUGGUGGCAUAGUGGUUAGGAUUCAGUGCUUUCACCACUGUGGCCCAGGUUCAAUCCCUGGUCUGGGAA